GACGUAGGGGGCCAGCGUUGUUCGGAAUUACUGGGUGUAAAGGGUUCGUAGGCGGUGCGGCAAGUCGGGAGUGAAAUCUCUGGGCUUAACCCAGAGGCUGCUUCCGAAACUGCUGUGCUUGAGUGUGGGAGAGGCGCGUGGAAUUGCAGGUGUAGCGGUGAAAUGCGUAGAUAUCAAGAGGAACACCUGAGGCGAAGGCGGGUUGCUAGGCUGACACUGACGCUGAAGCGCGAAAGCCAGGGGAGCAAACGGG
rnacentral:rRNA from 1 species